UUCCUCACUCAUUGCCCGACCGAAAUCACCGUCCCUUUCUCCUCCUCGCCUCUUAGUCCCGACGAAACCCUCGGCGGUGCUUUGAGAUCCGACCAGGACACACCUCAGCAGGCGAUUCUCCUCUAAGGACGACGCGAUCGGAAGUGGAAUCUGGCAACCUUCUUCCCGCCGGCGCUAACCUGGAACGAGGGCUUCGGAGAUAACACGCGGAAGGGAAAGGCAAGUUCAUAUCACUAUGAUUUUGUGAAAUCCACAAGGUAGGGGAGAGUAGCAUAGAAGGUUUAGAAGUGCUCACCGAUGAGGUUUGCUUGAUCAGAUGGUCUGUGAAUCCAUGUUCUGUGAUGAUUCUUGCUUCGCCGGUGGUUUCCCUCAGGUUUUCUCAUGGGAAUUGGGGAUCAAGCAUUGAGGGAGGAUUUAGGUUUCGGUGUUUUGAUGCUUUACUAUCGAGAAUUGUCGUUUGAUUUCUUUUGGGGAUGGGUUUCUCUUCCAUAAAGUUCUGUUUUGCUUUGAGGAUUUAUUGAAGAUCUUGCUUGGCUCACAUGAUUUUCUUGCUAGCUUUCGCCGAUAUACUUUGUUCAAUGAAGUUUAUGGAUAAUGAAAUUGUCUGUCAUGAUUUUCGUAGCGUUCAUCUGGCUGUAGAUGAAUUUGGGAUUUGAUUUCUUCCAUGAUGUUAAUGAAGCGAGUUCUGGAUGUUAUCUGUUUGUGUAUAUGUCUGACCGAGAUGUAUUUAGUGGAAUGAGUUUCGUUUUGAGUUCUGUAAAACCUUGGGCUGGGUUCUGGUCCCUGUGAAGUCUUCCGGACGAUUUUGAGGAUGAUCUGUGUUCUCCUUGGGUACUCAAGAGUUUCGGUUGGACGGUUGGUUUACGAUUUUCCUCGUUAUUCUAUUGUUCUAAAUGUAAGCUGAUCUGUUCUUAGAAUCGAUGUGGUUUUGGGAUGAAUAUCCACGUGAAUUGUUUCUUGUUGACUUGCUCCUUGUAUGAGAUUCGAUUUCAUGAUGAGGAUUUUGUUGUUGGAGCUUGCUUUUCAGAAGAUUGUCUUGCCUCUCGUAGUUGUUUAGUUUUUGGUGGCAGGAAUUGGUUGAUAGGGUCUGAAAUUACUUUAAUAUAUUCAGUAGUAUUGUAAUUGGAAUAGAUAUUGGUUUUUGUUUUUUUUCUGCAAUCGGUCAUUUAAUGUUGAUGUCCUUUCCUUUAGUUCUUUAAGACGAGCAUGGUUAAUAAAUGGAUGGAGAUAGUUUCGGAUAGUUAUUGUUCUUUUGUGUUGGCUUGGGAUUUUGGUUGGGUUCUCGUGGAAUUGACAACAAUAUAAUGAUUCGGUUUGAGGUGUACUGGUUUUACUUGUGAAGGUUUUGAUUCCUGUCUCUCCUAAACAGAUUUAGUGGAUGUGUAUCAAUUUCAAGUUUAUUUUUAUGAUUUACUGAUGUGAUUGGGACUUUGUAGGGGAUUGACUCAGUUUCCUUCUAAUUAUUGUAGUUUGCUGUAGUUUAAGUUUUUUUAUGCCAAUUUUAAUACUUGUGAGCUAUUCUCUAGUUUUGUUAUGUAAGAGAUGAAUUCUUCUUUUCAGUAGCUUAUUUACUUUAUGCAUGAAAUGGGCUCUGAUUGGGUUUUUGUGAAAUUCUAUGUCUAAAGAAUGAAUAAUGUAUUCAACUGUUAUAGGAAUGAUGAAUAUGGAAAGAAUGACAGGAAUAUGCUAAGAAAUAAGUGACUGGAAUUUAUUAUGAUUAUAUAAACCUAUGUAGCUAAUUGGAUGAAUAUGAGCAUAUGUGGUAGUAAUACGGGAUGGGUGACCCGGGAUGAGCUCCGGGGAGGGCCUAUCCAAACUUGACUGAUAUGGUUAGCUUCGGCUAUAUGACUGGAUGCAUGUUCUCUACGAGGUACCUCUAGGUUCAUGGGACUGUUGACUGGCUCUAAUUGUGGUUACCGGAUAUGUGACAUAUUCACCUUAGUAGCUACGUAGGAUCACUGUUGCGUGUUAUAUCUCUCUAUUAUAUGUGGCAUAUCGUACUUGAGUUGUGUUAUGGUUUCUUUAAAAGGCUUCUAGUUGCUAUUUUUACUACCUUAUGGAUAUCCUCAUGUUCACAUUGGUCUGUACUUGCUGGGUCGUAGACUCACCACAUUUAUAUCACAUGUGAGGAUGACUUCCAGGAUAUGCCGGAAGGCCCACGGGCGGAGUAGACGAGGAGGCGGGAUGGACGCAUGGUACUGUCCGUUAUCCGGCAGUGCGGAGCAUACUGGAUUCACUGCAAGAGUUAUUUUCAUUUCUUUAUCAUUCGGUUGUUUCUUGCAUACUAGUAUGCAACAGAAGGACGACAAAGGUUCGACGUGAUCUUGGGGCUCUUCCUCGAUUGCCUCAACAUCUUUUCCACUCUUGGGCAUUCCCCUGCCAUCGAAAUCAGUUACCCUGGUCUGGACAUGCAACUACUUUUGAAGUAAGCUUCUUCUUUCUUUUGAUUGUGUAUCUGUAAAGCUAAAUCCACUGCUGCAGAGGUUAGAUUGGGAAGGUAUGUGUAAAUUCAUCCAAGCAGUUUGUGUUCUGUCUCUAUAAAUUCAUUGUUUGUUGAAUUCUAUUGGGUACUCUUGUGAUCUCUACAUUACUGUGCUAAAAAACGAGUGUUCUUUCUUUAGGUGCACUGUAGUUGGACUCCUCCUUGUUCUUUGCAGGUUGAAGUGUAGUUGUCUGAUAAGUAUAGUUGUCUGAUAAGUUAUAUUCAUUGAAUCAACAAGUGAGAAAGAGGAGUUCAAUGAAAUCCUACAUAGCAUAAUAAAAUUGUUGCGUGCACUUAUUGCUCCAUCCGCCAUUAAUAUAUGAUAACAUGGGUUCAAGAGACAAAUCUUAGCUUCCUUUUUUUUAUAAAAAAAAUGUUAACUUCCUUAAUUGUUAUCAUCCUGUUAUUUGUUCCUAUGACCUUUAUUUUCUCUCAAGUGCUGCCUAGUCACCUACGCAUGUUAUAUCGUUUGCAUGGUAUUUAAUGUUAUUCAUGUCUUUGAUAAGUGAUACUAGCUAUUUUAUAUGUGCUAAUCAAUCCCAGAAAGAGUGUGAGUACCUUAUUGAAUUAGCAAAGCCUCACAUGCAGAAGUCAACAAUUGUAGAUAGUGUGACAUGUUGGAGUAAAGAUAGCAGGGUGCGGACAAGUGUUGGCAUGUUUCAUAGAAGAGGACAAGACAAAAUCAUCCGAACAAUUGAGAAGAGAAUAGCAGACUUUUCCUUCAUACAGAUGGGUUCUAUUGACAAAGUUUCUUAGCGUGCCACCAACGUUCCAAGUAACAUCAAAUGUUGUCCAGAAUUUGACAAUUACAAAAAUUCUUAUGCGCAUGUUGAUCCUUGUUACUAGUGUUGUCAAGCACUAACAUUGCAAAAUAGUGUGACAACUGACAAUCAAGACUACAUGGAAUAGUAUCAUCCUCAAAGGUACACACACUUGCUGUAUAAGGAUAUGGUCAGUAAAAUUAUAAAGUUGCAACCAUUAGCCAUAUCACUAAAAAUUGGCAAGAUAUCAAAAAUUUACACUUCCAACUUCAUAUAGCAUUAGUAUUAUGCAUUGAAAUUGAUAAUAAAAAAAUAUAAGUAGAUUAACAGCUAGGGUUGUUUUUCUUUAAAUUAUUAAUUUCCUUGUCCUGAGUCCAAUUACUCUCAACUUCCCAAACUAAAUCAAGUAAAUGACAAGAAGUUCUAUUAUUUUCUUAAUAUUGUUUAUUUGUCAUAUGUUAGUAAAUUGAGGACUCACAAUGUUCUUCAUUAAUUAUUGUUAAUGCAAACUAGUAUGGUUAACCUAAAAUUGGAGCAAUAACAAAGAGUGUCUGCAACUCUUCCAUCCUUCAACUUGACUGAUGUUACCUGUUAAUAACAAAGAGUAUCUGCAUCGAGCACUCUUCCAUCCUUCAACUUGACUGAUGUUACCUGUUAAUAACAAAGAGUAUCAUCUAAUUCCUGACAAAACAAAACACACACUGCUAAAGAAUAAAAACAUACAUCCCCAUUGGUGUCAGAAUUAAAUCUGAUGACUAGUGUGCCCUUGUCUAUUUUGACUCCCUUGUUUGCAUAAUAAGCUUCAUAGAAAGCAGCGAUAUCUGGAGUAAAUAGCCUCGGCACUGCAUGAAGGAAGAGAGAUUAAGGAUCCUGUGACACGGUAAUUGACAAGUCUCUUAUAUUUGUUGCUUGGGUAGAAUUAACCAAAGAUAAUUCUUUCGGACCAUGUACUUCUGCAUAUAUGGUGUUAACUUUGAUUUUGUUAAAGAGAGAUAGGGAGAAGUUAAAGGAUAUAGGCAAUGGACAUACUGUACCAGGGUUCAGGAUACACCAUAGUGACAUCAAAGUUGUUAAUCUUCGUAACGGCACUAAGUUCAAGCCCAAUGUAUCCACCUCCAACAAUGACAGCCUUCCCGUUCUUCUUUGCUUGGAUGGCCGCCACAAGCUUGUCAACAUCAUCAAUUUCCCUCAGAUACAAUAUAUUUUUAGCAUCAGCUCCAGGAGUACCAAAAUCAGAGAGAUUUAUGACCUACAAAUGUCAUGUUACAAAAUCAAUAAUAGAACAUUGUCAACAAUCACCCUAUUCUUCAGAACUACAAUGAACGGAAAGAAAGGUAGCAGUAUUCAGAUCGACAUUUGCCUGGCGCCAAACGCAACACCACAAUCAGAAAGCAUGAAGAAAUCUACCAAGGAUCAUAAUGGCAAAGUCGCAAUACCAAUGAGGAAAUUGAUGAUGGAAGUGUGGGAGUUUGCCAAAGAGGACACAGACAGGGUGACUUUUCCCUCAAGGUUGGCUUGGCUUGCCUCCUCGUCUCCCUUCUCAUUCUCAUCCAACCACCUUAUCAAGUCUUCGGCACCAACUUCAUAUUAGAAAAG